GAUAACCAUUCUGCGAUGAUACAAUAGAAACCCUACAAAUCUAUGGGGAGAAUUAUGGUGAAGACGAUCCGGUCAAAAUAAAUUAUGUUUUCAAAAAAAAAGAAUUAAGGUGAAGAUUUUUCCGACUAUCGAAGCAGUUUUCUGUUGAAGGUGGUUAAACUAUGGAAAUGGUUUUGGUUGAUUCAUCUGGGUACAAAAUCCAUUCACACAGGCUGGUGGCUCUUCUCGGACAACCAAACAUGCCUACAAGAUUGGUUUUUUGGCCACAGCUCGUGUGCGAUCAUGUGAGGAAUUGCCCUAUAAUUUAACUGGUUUUACACCGGCAAAUUUCCGUCAUCUCUUAGAUGGUACUUUGAAUACAGACUAUCUGGUUGGUAAGUAAAUUUUAGUUAGAAGCAGCUUAACUUACUGCUACUAUUGACAGGUUCAUUCAACUAAAAUGUAUUGCUUAUGGAAGUAAUGCUAGAGAAUUGCAUCAUUAUUGGACAUGCACAAUUGCUAAUGUUCUUUUGUGUGUUUUAUCGUUCAGGCAAAUUCACUGGGGUGAAUGGUAAAUUAUAGAUAUAUACCUAUAGAGAAUUUUUGAAUUAUCUUUUAUACUUUCAAACAGAUUAUAAAACCAACUACUUUAUUAUAUAAGGUGUAAUAUAUAAUGAUCCUAAAAAAACUUUAAAAAAUGUAAAAUUUUUAACAUAACAAAAGCAUAUGUUUUAAAACUUUGUAAAAUUCUAAGAAAUUAUUAAAUAGUAUAUUCAUCCUGCGCAAGGCGCAGGUCUCAACCUAGUAUUUA